rnacentral:rRNA from 1 species
GUGCCAGCCGCCGCGGUAAUACGUAGGGGGCAAGCGUUGUCCGGAAUCAUUGGGCGUAAAGGGCGCGUAGGCGGUUAUAUAAGUCUGAUGUGAAAGUGCGGAGCUUAACUCCGUAAAGCAUUGGAAACUGUAUAACUUGAGGACAGGGAGAGGAAAGUGGAAUUCCACGUGUAGCGGUGAAAUGCGUAGAGAUGUGGAGGAACACCAGUGGCGAAGGCGACUUUCUGGACUGUAACUGACGCUGAGGCGCGAAAGCGUGGGGAGCGAACAGGAUUAGAUACCCUGGUAGUCCACGCCGUAAACGAUGAAUGCUAGGUGUAGAGGGUAUCGACCCCUUCUGUGCCGCAGUUAACACAAUAAGCAUUCCGCCUGGGGAGUACGGCCGCAAGGUUGAAACUCAAAGAAAUUGACGG